GCCUGGGAAACCCCAUGGACAGAGGAGCCUGGUGGCUACAGUCCAUGAGGUCACAAAAGAGUCUGACAUGAUGUAGCAACUGAACAACAGUUCACAUCUCUUCCAGCCUAUUCUCUCUCUUUUUUGACUACCAAACUACCUUUUUUGACUCUUUAGGAUAGUAGAGGUAUUUUUCUUUUCUUCUUUGAGAGUAUUUCUUUUUGUUCUAUAAUACCAUAUGUUUAACUAGGUACUUUUUUUACCUUAUUAAAAAUGACUGUAAAACAGUAGUACUCAAAACUUGAUGGUCCCAGGACACCUUUACACUGUUAAAGAUUGUUGUGGCCAGUAUUUAUCUAAUACUUACCAUCUUAGAAGUUAAAACUGGAAAAUUUAAACAAUAUUUAUUAAAAUUAUCGUGUUAGCACAAGUGAUUUUUUAAAAUUAAAAUACUUAUUUUCCAAAACAAAAACCAAUUUUGUGAGAAGAACAUUGUUUUACAUUUUGACAAAUUACUGUAUACAGUCUAGUAGAAUCCUCUCAUUCUCAUAUUUGCUUCUGCAUUCAGUCAGUUUUGCUAUCAUAAGUCAUGUAGCCUCUGGAAAACUUCAUUGUAUAUUGUGAGACAAUGAGAGUUAAAGAGGCAAAUAACAAUUUAUUUAGCAUGAUUAUAAAAGCACUUUUAACCUUGAAGACUCCCUGAAUGGGUUUCAAGGUCACCCAGCUUGGAUCACACCGAGAACUGCUGCAAAAAUUAUGUAACAGUGUAAUGGUCUUCCUUCUUGGUGUUCUGGACUUCUUAAUCUUUUGCUUUUAUAAUGUCUGAAAAAUUUUGUUUGAAUGAUUUUCUUAUGUAUAUUAAUGUUACAUUUUCUUCCAGUAGUUUCUGAAUGAGAUUGCACUGCUUGUGUCCUCCGUUGUCCUGUAGUUUUAUUUCUCAAAACUUUUUUAAUCCAACUCAAAUGAACUAAAAACAGAAGAUUUUUAAAAAUGAAGUAAUAUAAAGAUUGACCUUAUCUCACUCUACUCCCCUCCUUGCUUCUCUGCUCAUCUAGCACCUGUCUGCUCUCACCCUUCUCACGUUCUCGCCAUUGCUGGGCAAGAUUUCUACAGCUUCUGUCAUCUGGAUCAACCCCCCUGUUACCUAGAUUGCCUCAACCAUCUCUGUCUUCAGAUCUCUUCUAGUCGAUGUUCCUCAGUUGGCUUUAUUUUGUUUGAGCUUUUGUUCUGAUCUUGCAACUGGGCGCUUUAGUUUCAUUACCAUACCAGGUUACUCACCCAACUUUUUGUUUGUUUUUACUUUCUCCUGUCUCAUUUAAUUUUGUACUACAUUUUGAGAAAUAAUAUUGCAGUGAAACUUACAUUGUCAUAAAUAUUUUUAAAUAGUUGGAUAAUGUUUUAAUCCGAUCUAAAGUUUGUAUUUUUAGAAACAAUAGAAUCAUUUUGGAAAUCAAAUAUGAGCAGUUUCACCAAGUUCUUUUACAUCAGAGCUAGUGUAAUAUAUUGAUUAGGCUGAUAUUGAGAGAUACGGGUUUUCUCAUUGGAACUGUAGCUCUAGAAUCUUUUUGCUGAUUAAUUAUGGGCCUGUCCUCUACUUUGCCAACACAAGUGAGUUCAAGGCCAGUUGAAAGACUUACGGACUAAAAGUUAGGCUGAGUUAAAA